AAGUCGUAACAAGGUUUCCGUAGGUGAACCUGCGGAAGGAUCAUUAACACGUGUCCAAACGUUAAAACCCCCCCCGUGAACAUUGAUUCCUGCUCUUGUAACCCGCGAAGCUUGCAAUCUCUGGUAAAUCAUAGCCCGGAAAGUAGUUUUGAUUCAGAGACCUCUGGCCCGUGCGAAAAUUGGAACAGUUACAAUUCGAGCGGUAGUUCUAUAGGCCUUGUUUCCCCAAGCAGUCAGUGUCUGAAAGUGUCAGUGAUUGUGCAAGGAUAACGCUUCACGAUUCUUGUAGACCGCAUCUCGCGGGCAGGAGCUAGGCCAAAGGGUCCCCAUGCCCCCUUACAACCCCACAGUUAAAUGUGAAGCUCAAUGUAAUACAUUGGGUAAAAAACCGAACAACUGUUAACAAUGGAUAUCUUGGUUCUC
rnacentral:misc_RNA from 1 species